rnacentral:rRNA from 1 species
UACGUAGGGUGCAAGCGUUGUCCGGAAUUAUUGGGCGUAAAGAGCUCGUAGGCGGUUUGUCGCGUCGAAUGUGAAAACCCGGGGCUCAACCCCGGGCCUGCAUUCGAUACGGGCAGACUAGAGUUCGGUAGGGGAGUCUGGAAUUCCUGGUGUAGCGGUGAAAUGCGCAGAUAUCAGGAGGAACACCGGUGGCGAAGGCGGGACUCUGGGACGAUACUGACGCUGAGGAGCGAAAGCGUGGGGAGCAAACAGG